GAUCCCUUCCAGAGAUACUCUCGCAAACAAUGCACGUGAGAAUUCCUCUUGUUCAGGAGUUCACACACCAGAGGCAGAAAGCAGUUCCCAGUAUUGUGGUAAAUACAAGAACAACAAGAAGAAAUCUUCCUGGAGGAGGAUGACUUAAGACUAACAGCGUCAACUUUCCCCGGGGCAGCCGGAGUACCUGAAGAAUGUCACACAGAUACCACCUGGGAGUUUUUUUUUUGGGGGGGGGGGUGCAGUUUGUGGGUGUCCACUUGCGCUUUGUCCUCAGCUCACUUUCUUGCUCCUUCACCAUUUCCCAGGCUUAGUUGUGACACAGGAGUACUAGCCAGAUCUCAUUCUGGCAGAACAAGCCUUCUAUUUUCCGCUUCCAAAAUCGCUAUAUCUAACAUACAUGAAAACUAUGCAACAAAAGGUAUCUUCAUGAAUCCACUUAAAAAGACCUAAUGGGCACCUGGUGGCUCAGCGGGUUAAUUCUCUGCCUUCAGCCCAGGCCAUGG